UCCAAACAAGAAUAGCUGCCGCCUUCAACCACGACCACGCGAGAUCUGAGAAUGUUUCGAGUCGGGGGGAGCCUUAAAAAAGUAAAUCUGCUGCAGUGAUUUUCAGUCAAGUAGGAUUUGUAUUGAAGUUAAGUAAAACCUUGGUAAUUUCACGACCUAAAGCCGAAAAAACGCAGGAGUUAAAAUAAACAGGAUAUUUGUAAGAAUGCCAUUCAAAAAUGCCAGGAAGAAUACUGCACGAGUGUUUACCAAUGUCCCAAUGAUAGACCAGUAUGAGUAAACUUUUCUAACAGAUGAGUUAAGAACCAUUCUUUUCACUCUACAGAGAAUCUUAGCAAUGUAAUGUGCUACUAAUAUUUUAUCUAUUCCUUGCAAAUGCAAUUUGUUUUAUUGUUCGUUGUCAGAAUCAGCAUAGGUUUGCCUUUUUCAACAUGGGAGAGCAGUUCCAUUGAGCCUUUGCUGACUUGCAGCCCAUUAUCAUCCUUCAAUUUUAUUAUUUGAGUUGACACAAUCGAGGCAACCUUAUGUUACAUGAUAAAGGAGCCGUUUGUGGUGUUCAACGUGCAGUGGAUUUGCAGCCAGUUCCGGUUGGUCAUACUCUUUUUAAAUUGCUGCUUCGACACUUCCGGUGGCUUGAAAUGGUUUCUGUACACCUUGAAAUUUAAUCGGAGCACUAAUAUUGAUCAAUAGAAGGAAAAGAGGAGACUUCAAAACUGAGUUCCAGACGAAACCGUUCCUCCCAAAACUAGUGGCAGGCAAGAUACCAAAAUGGACGAUUUAUGGAAGCGUGUCUCGCCAGCCAAGAAAUUUCCCAAGUUAUUGAAAGACAUUCAUCAUUGAAAGACCGAUCCGGACCGAUCCAUCACCAGAGCCAGUAUCACCGACACUGAAGAGGAAUCACCCAACGAACGUCAUCAAAGUGGAAGCAGAGCUGACAGCAAAACUCUGAUCUUUCGUUGUGCUUCGGUGAAGAGCAGCUGAAGUGUGACGGUAUGAACUGAAGUCUUGUCACGGCCAUUCGCCAUCGCCUGAGGAAAAUGAAAACUCCUGGCAGAAACCUAGCCUACCUUCUCACUGAUCAUCCCACUACCCAUCUUUGGAAGGACUGUAUUUCCACAACCUUGCAAACAACAAUUAGGGCAACUGAUUGGUUACGGCCGAGGCGGAUCCGGUGACAGAAUUGUUAUGCAGACGGUAUUCAACACUACAUGGCCUCCUCCUAACGCCGACUGGCCAGAUGGUUCCACGCGAAAAAUAAUACAGCUCUGCCUGGCUUUAUUUUGCUUCUUCGAUGGAGAAAUAAAACAAUUGCCAAAUGGCUGAAAUAGUUCUAUCAAUAAUAGGUAAACCGAGAACAAAUUUAUACAGGAUUUGCCAUGGCUUCGGUGUCGGUAGUGAGUGAAGCAGCGAUGACACGAUUCAUUACCGGCAAGUUAAACACGAAACUUUAUGUCAACGACAUUAAACAUUUCAAGCCAAGCAAUUGUGCAACUAUUAAUUUCCAAUCUUUUAGACGACUUAAUUUUAGAAGAAAAUAUAGAAAUGCAAGUUCUGCUGUGGAUCUUCUCCAUCACAAACCAAGAUCACAUCUGCCGGACGAAUUGGCUAGUGGUCGCUGAUUUUUAUUCAGUAGGACGAGUUGCAGUAAUGGCAUGGGAUCAAACAAUACGCAUCAUUACAAGAUUGGACUUAAAACUCGUCACUGAAACUGAGCUGAGAACACUGGACCGACAAGAUCCCAAUGCCCAUUAUAGAGCCGCCAUUCCCAACGAGUUUUUGAGUCGAUUUAUUCAAAAAAAAAAAAGGAAAAGCACACUAAACAAGGUGGAGAUCUUUAAUAUAACAGUUGGCGACCAUCGAAAUUCCCCGGGCUGUUUCCUCAAUAUGGAGUUAUGGAAACACAUUACAGAUUCGAGGCUUUCUGUAUUCUCUCCAAUAAUAAAAAAAAACUAUGAGAAUUAUAUCUUCUCCAGCUAGAUAAUUUGACUGCUUAGGACCACGAGCGUUAAGAUUAGUAUUUUUGUAGAUAAUAUUCCUGCCCCUUUAAUUACGCCUUAAUAAAGGAAACGACGAUGUCUUUCAUGAUAUCCAGUGUUUAACAACAGGAUCGGCCCUAGACGAAAUUUACACACCCGUUCCUUCUCCCUCACACAGACAGAGUAUUGCAAGUCGUGCUUUCUCGGACCAAUAACCGGGGUUUUAAGCUGAAAGCAACCUUCCGCUAGUCGUUCGUUACGUUCAGUCGUUAACGGAUGCUAAAGACUCUGUCGGCUGUCACUAGGUAUCACUAGGUGGCUACAAAAAUUGUGUCCACCAGGUGGCAGAGUGUCUAAUCACGAGUGACGAAAUUUUCGCCAUUUGUUUCCGGUGCAGUUGGUGAGCUUGUGUUAGAGAAAUGGAUGCCGUCGCCGUGCGACGAUCAAGUAUCACUGUUUUUUAUUACGCCGGCUUGCGUGAUCUAAGGAGUGGCCAUCCAGAGAUGAAUGUAAAUUCGUUGCCUAGUGUUAUUUUUGCUUACAGUAGCCAUUGCACUCCACCAUUACACUCAACAUGUGGUCAAGAUAAACGUUUGUCUGCAAUGAUUAGCCACUUCCGUUUAUCAAAGGGGUAUCAAAAGGGAAACGAAUGAAAAUAGAAAAUCUGAAAAGGUCAUGAUCAGAUCUAUGGAAAAUAUUCUAGAGAAUGAAAAUAUUCUGUCUAGGGAAUUACGCCUCAAAAGAAAGAACUGCGGUUGCAAUCUUCAACAAUCUUGCGUAACAAUAGAAUAUCGCACGAAUUUUGAUGCUGAAAGACUUGGAAACCAUGCUGUCGACCACGUUGAGAAGCUGAGUAACAUUCUGCUUUUACAAUGGCACCUCUUAAUAAAAGGAACUUGAGCCAUCCAAUCUAGGACUUCCAUCAAAUCGUGCAGGCUGCUUGGAAGUCGCUUUUACCUUUGUCGUGAACAUCAUGAACACAUACACUAUUUGAAGGUUCAUGUUUACGUAGCAGACUAGCAGUGGUGUUGCUGUCCAAUGUGGCGUGUUGUUGCAGCCUAUGGUGGUGAAAGAUAUCUGCAUCAAGUUGCUGUUCCUUGUGCAUCCAAGGUGCUGCUUUUGUGCUACAGAAGUGACAUCUAAUAUUGUGUUUAAUUGCUAUUCGUGUCUUCGCAGUUUACCUUUAUAUAUUGAGAAGGAACAAAAAAAUAGUAAUACGGGGAGGUUUAUGUCAAACAAAUAAUAAACAUGUCCAGGAUGGGGGAAUGAGGAGGAAGUUGGGGUGGGGUAUUUGGUUAUGAUUUACUAAAAGAAGUGAGGUAUAUUUUUAAUGAAUAUGCAGUACUUGGUGAUAAAAUCUGUUGUUAACCUAUACCUUCCUGUCAACCUAUACUUUCCACUUACACAUCCACUCCUCAAACUCCAUAAGCACCAACAUCAAAUCCCACAUCCACUCACAUCUAUUCCUAAAACUCCACCAUCUCCAACAUCAAACUUACACAAACUUACACAAUUGUUGUAUAUUUAAUCAUAUUUAUAUUUAAAUAAAUAAAUUGUCAUUGUA
rnacentral:lncRNA from 1 species